CGGGGCGUAGCGCAGCCUGGUAGCGCGCCUGUUUUGGGAGCAGGAUGUCGGAGGUUCAAAUCCUCUCGCCCCGACCA
rnacentral:tRNA from 1 species